UCGCGAUCCUUGAUGCUGUUGUCUUUUGGCCGACUACGGUAACAGAUGCCUCUUGAACUUCUGAUUUACUUAGGCAUGUAAAAUUAGGCAAGAAAUUUGGCGAACUACAUUCUUCUUAAGAAAAGAAAUCUAUCACAGCUUGAGAAGGAGACAUUAUAUAUUGACCGUAACCGCUGGAAGUUCAAUCAAAGCCAUACACAAGAAGAUGGAUUUCAAAAUAAAUUUCUUAUUCAUACUUCUUGUCUUUAGCAUGGGAUACCUAUGUCCUGCACAAAAAGAAGUUCCGCCUCGUAAAGUGGCACCUAAAUAUUGUUUCUUAAACUAUGACUCUGGCCCUUGCCUCUCAGAUGCGAUGAUAUUGGAAGAAGAAUAUCAAACGAGAUAUCAUUAUGUGCCAAAUUUGAAACAAUGUAUUGAUUUCAUGUACGGGGGCUGCGGUGGAAAUGAAAAUAAUUUUAUAAGUUAUAAAGAAUGCAUGACAACAUGCAAACCAAAAGUUGUGGACAGAUAUUUACAUUAACAGUGAAGAUUAUUUUAAAUCCACUCCGGAAUAUAAAAUUCUUUAACAUAUCUUUUUUUAGGGUGUCUUAUGUAUUAAUAUGUAUUUGCAAUAGUUUCAUGUUGAGUUGAAAUUGAAGUGCUAAAUGAAAGACUUUGUAAAGUCUUUAUAAAACACUUUUAAAAUGUUUCAUUUUUACAAUAAUUGACUGUAAUAAAAUGAAUUUUGCGGAUAUGUAUAUGA